rnacentral:rRNA from 1 species
UGGGGAAUUUUGGACAAUGGGCGAAAGCCUGAUCCAGCAAUGCCGCGUGUGUGAAGAAGGCCUUCGGGUUGUAAAGCACUUUUGUCCGGAAAGAAAUCCUUGGCUCUAAUACAGUCGGGGGAUGACGGUACCGGAAGAAUAAGCACCGGCUAACUACGUGCCAGCAGCCGCGGUAAUACGUAGGGUGCAAGCGUUAAUCGGAAUUACUGGGCGUAAAGCGUGCGCAGGCGGUUUGCUAAGACCGAUGUGAAAAUCCCCGGGCUCAACCUGGGAACUGCAUUGGUGACUGGCAGGCUAGAGUAUGGCAGAGGGGGGUAGAAUUCCACGUGUAGCAGUGAAAUGCGUAGAGAUGUGGAGGAAUACCGAUGGCGAAGGCAGCCCCUGGGCCAAUACUGACGCUCAUGCACGAAAGCGUGGGGAGCAAAACAGGAUUAGAUACCCUGGUAGUCCACGCCCUAAAACGAUGUCAACUAGUUGUUGGGGAUUCAUUUCCUUAGUAACGUAGCUAACGCGUGAAGUUGACCGCCUGGGGAGUACGGUCGCAAGAUUAAAACUUAAAUGAAUUGACGGGGUCAUAGCUGUUUCCU